CUAUUAUUUUUAUUUUUAUAUUUUUUCAUCUUCACCCAACCUCAUCUCCAUUUUCACACGCCAUAACACAGACAACCAUCUCCUCAUCCAUUUUCACACGUAAAAGAACUAGCCAAUAUUUUUAUCCAAAAAUUUAGGAAAAUCGAAUGUCUAAAGCAUCACCUCAGGCGUGGUUGAAGCAAAAGAAAAACAACUGUCCGUGAAGCUAAUUGCUCCAACAACGGUUGCGGCUCAAAUUCCGGUCCACCAAGUUUUGUCUCCGCGCAGCGUGGAGCUCCGUGAGGUCUCCGAGCAGUUGCCUCCACGGAGCGCGGAUCUUGACUUCAACCCGGAAUGUAAUCUUUGGCGUAUUGUUCUGCUGGUGUUCCUCCUACUGCCGGCCCUAGGGCCUAAAAAAAAAAAAGUCAAUCUCAAACAAUCGAGGCGGUGAUAGGGCAGGCUCGCCAUUUUUAUUUGCCAGGAGUAAGAUCAAUUGAGCAAGUAGGAAUGACAGGGGAUAGCCCAAUUUUUUAUCUCCCAACUGUGUUUCUGCUUCUCCUUAUAGCUUAUUCACUUCUCAUUUUGUGUUGAUUUUACUUUUUUACUGCUUCAUAUUUGUACACUUCUAAUAAUGUUUGGUGUGCUAGCUAAUUAUUUUCAACAAAUUACAAAUUACACUUAUAAUGAAUGUUUGAAUGGGACAAGCGAAUCAUGAAGUAAAGUUGUUCGAUUAAAUGCUUCAGUAAGGCCAUUGUUUAUUUAGUUUCCAGCUGGAGGGUUCUACAUGGCGUGGCUAAUCAUCAUCGUAUUAUUAAUUGUACUUUGGGUGCAAAUUUUGUUGUGGAUUCCAAAGCUGCAUUCUUAAAUGAUGGAAUGGUUUUCCGAUAGAGAAAUGUGUUGCUGGUUAUUGCGCACCCUGAUGAUGAGUCUGGGUAUAGUUCAGAGCUUAAUGUUCUCUAGAUUCAAGUGCCCGGGUAACACUGAUCAAGGAUAAGAAGAAAUAUGAUUUUGUGAUUUUGCAGGAUUGAACUUGUGGUUCAUUCUGUACAAAUUUUAGCUGCUGUAGCUGUAUAUUAUAGGCAGAAGGGAUAUUUCACGGGAGCCAUGAUUUUACUAUCAAAUUGUUAGAGCUACUUGAAAGUUAAGAAAUAUUGCUCAAGGUUUAACUUCUUACAAGCUUGUUCCAAGCUACAUUAACGAUGUUAAAAUUGCUAAUGGUUCAGUAUUUGAAGAGUGUGUUUCUUUGUGCUGUGUUUACUACUGGAAUUAAAAAGAGUGAAAAGGAAGGUGAUUAAUUGAGAUUCAGGCUUAGACAUUUUAGAGUUAGAAGAAUAUUAAAAACAGUUCUUCUAUCUUACCUGAAUCUUAUACGUGUUUUAAAAGGGAUUUUGUUACUGUUUUCUGGCAAUGAAGCAUAAGAAGGGAAUCUGUAGAAACAAUUCAUAUCCUAUCAUUUAUAUUUUACCAAACAAAUUGACUUGAUGGAGGGUACAUCGUCUAGAAAUGAAUAGGCAGGUGUGGAAUGUGUAAACAAUGGAGAUUUCGUAUUUGAGAAGCCCUUUUUACAUAAUCCCACUGUUAAAUCUGCCUAUUUAAUUGCAUUCCUAAUAUCUCUAUGGCAGGUUUGGAAGGAAUUGGCUGCUGUUAGAUUGGCUGCUUCUAUAAGAAUGUAUAUCCGUUCAACAACCACCAUACACGUAUAUUUAACAUUUAGCAACUAACGUGCAACACACCUUUUCCUCACUAUAUUGUUGAAAUGUUUAGAGAACUUGGCAUUGGGAUAGUAGCAUACAUUUCUCUUGGACGGGGAUUCUUCUCAUCUGGUCCAAAACGGGUUGAAAUUUUCAGUGAAGGGGACAAACGAAAGAGAAGAGGAAGAGCUGGACGUGUUCAGCCUGGAGAAUGUUAUCAUCUCUAUCCAAGAUUUGUAUAUGAUGCUUUUGCAGAUUAUCAAUUACCAGAAAUUUUAAGGACCCCGCUGCAGUCUCUUUGCUUACAAAUUAAAAGUCUGAAACUGGGUAGUAUUUCCAAGUUCCUGUCAAGGGCAUUGCAGUCACCUGAGAAUCUAGUGGUAAUGCUUAUUCAAAUAUGUUUCUGUUUUAUGGAAAGAGCUUGCAUCAUGACUCACAUGGAAAUACAUAUGUCAACAAUAAUGUCUUGAGGUUGUCAUACAACUUUUCCUUCACAUUUGCUGCUAAGGUUCAAAAUGCUAUUGAAUAUUUAAAGAUCAUUGGGGCUUUGGAUGAGACUGAAAAUUUGACUAUUGAAUAAGACUCCUAAUUUCUCAAUUUUAUGCUUAUUGAGGUUGCAUUCUCGUAUAAGUUUGGCUGAUGUCCUUGACAAUGCUUCCAAUGGGGCCAAAACUUGGUAAAAUGCUUAUACUUGGUGCUAUAUUGAAUUGCCUGGACCCAAUGUCAAGUGUUGUCGCUGCUCUAAGUGUCCUGAUCCUUUUUUAACCCCAGUGGACAAGAAGGAAGUAAGUCAAACUUCGAAAUUUUAGUAAUUAUAUUAUGAAUUGUGUGGAUCUUGCAGAUACACUGUUGACAUAGUCACACUCAAUUCUGAUGCUAUUCAUCAUUUGC